rnacentral:misc_RNA from 1 species
GAUCAUUACCGAGUUAUUCAACUCAUCAACCCUGUGAACUUACCUAAACGUUGCUUCGGCGGGAAUAGACGGCCCUGUAAAACGGGCCGCCCCCGCCAGAGGACUCUUAACUCUGUUUCUUAUAAUGUUUCUUCUGAGUAAAACAAGCAAAUAAAUUAAAACUUUCAACAACGGAUCUCUUGGCUCUGGCAUCGAUGAAGAACGCAGCGAAAUGCGAUAAGUAAUGUGAAUUGCAGAAUUCAGUGAAUCAUCGAAUCUUUGAACGCACAUUGCGCCCGCCAGUAUUCUGGCGGGCAUGCCUGUUCGAGCGUCAUUACAACCCUCAGGCCCCCGGGCCUGGCGUUGGGGAUCGGCGGAGCGCCCCUCGUGGGCGCACGCCGUCCCCCAAAUACAGUGGCGGUCCCGCCGCAGCUUCCAUCGCGUAGUAGCUAACACCUCGCGACUGGAGAGCGGCGCGGCCACGCCGUAAAACACCCCAACUCUUCUGAAGUUGACCUCGAAUCAGGUAGGAAUACCCGCUGAACCU